UGGGGAAUAUUGCACAAUGGGCGCAAGCCUGAUGCAGCCAUGCCGCGUGUAUGAAGAAGGCCUUCGGGUUGUAAAGUACUUUCAGUCGGGAGGAAGGUGUCAAGGUUAAUAACCUUGGCAAUUGACGUUACCGACAGAAGAAGCACCGGCUAACUCCGUGCCAGCAGCCGCGGUAAUACGGAGGGUGCAAGCGUUAAUCGGAAUUACUGGGCGUAAAGCGCACGCAGGCGGUUGAUUGAGUCAGAUGUGAAAUCCCCGGGCUUAACCCGGGAAUUGCAUCUGAUACUGGUCAGCUAGAGUCUUGUAGAGGGGGGUAGAAUUCCAUGUGUAGCGAUGAAAUGCGUAGAGAUGUGGAGGAAUACCGGUGGCGAAGGCGGCCCCCUGGACGAAGACUGACGCUCAGGUGCGAAAGCGUGGGGAGCAAACAGG
rnacentral:rRNA from 1 species